rnacentral:rRNA from 1 species
AUGUUGCUUAGAAGCAGCCACCAUUGAAAGAGUGCGUAAUAGCUCACUGGUCGAGUGACUCUGCGCCGAAAAUGUAACGGGGCUAAACACACCACCGAAGCUAUGGCUUGAUGCUUGCAUCAGGGGUAGGGGAGCGUUGAAUGCGGGUUGAAGGUGUACCGGAAGGAGCGCUGGACUGCAUUCAAGUGAGAAUGCCGGUAUGAGUAACGAAAAGAUCUGUGAGAAUCAGAUCCGCCGAAAGCCUAAGGGUUCCUGAGGAAGGUUCGUCCGCUUAGGGUAAGUCGGGACCUAAGGCGAGGCCGAUAGGCGUAGUCGAAGGACAACAGGUCGAAAUUCCUGUACCACCGUAAUCCGCUAUGAGCGAUGGGGUGACGCAGUAGGGUAGUGACGCGGACUGAUGGAUGUCCGUCUAAGCAGUGAGGCUGAUGUGUAGGCAAAUCCGCACAUCGUAAGGCUGGGCUGUGAUGGGGAGCGAAAACUAUAGUAGCGAAGGUCAUGAUCUCAGACUGCCAAGAAAAGCCUCUAGCCAGGAGAAGGUGCCCGUACCGCAAACCGACACAGGUAGGCGAGAAGAGAAUUCUAAGGCGCGCGGAAGAACUCUCGUUAAGGAACUCGGCAAAAUGACCCCGUAACUUCGGGAGAAGGGGUGCCUCGGUAGGGUGAAUAGCCCGAGGGGGCCGCAGUGAAAAGGCCCAAGCGACUGUUUAGCAAAACACA